AUGGAGAUGGACAUGGAGCAAGGGAAACCCAACUCCCAACCCACCCAACAACAAUGGCUGGGCCUGCAGAGGAGGACAAGUGGACAUCCCAUCACCCAGAGUGGUGCAGUUGGAUCAACACAGAAACCAGGAUUAACACCCUAUCACCUGGAUCACACUGGAACCAGGACUGAUGAUCUCCCAGGAGGGAGGAACUCAUUGGAUCUCUCUCUCUCUUUUGCAGGGCAGGACAACAGAGAUGGACAAGGAGAGGACAGAGGAGAUGGACAAUUAGGACAUGAUGGAGAUGGGCAAAGAGAGAAUGACAGAGAUGGACAUUCUGAGUACAAUGGAGAUGGACAUGGAACAGGGGAACCCCAACUCCCAGCCUGCCCUGGGCCAACAGUGGGACCUGCAGAGGAAGCCAAGUGGAUGUGCCAUGGGCCAGAGCUGGGCAGCUGGAUCAACACUGAAAAUAGGAUUAACAUCCCCACUGCUGGAUCACACUGGAACAAGGACUGAUGAGCUCCCAGGAGGGAGCAGCUCACUGGAUCUCUCUCUCUCUCUUUUACAGGACAGGAUAACAGAGACAGACAAUGAGAGGAUGACAGAGAUGGACAAGGAAAGGAUGAUGGAUUUGGACAUGGAGAGGAAAAUAGAGGUGGACAAUGAGGACAUGAUGGAGAUGGACAAGGAGAGGACAACGGAGAUGGACAUGGAGAGGACAGUGGAGAUGAACACAGAGCAAGGGAACCCCAAUUCCCAAUCCACUCAGGGCCAGUGGCCCAGUCUGUGAAGGAGUCCAAGUGGACAUCCCAUCAGCCAGAGAGGCACAGCUGGAUCAACACAGAAACCAGGAUUAGCAUCCCAUCAGCUGGAUCUACACUAGGACCAGGACUGAUGGAUUGAUGUGGAUUGUGAACCAACAUCCCAUCUGCUGGAUGAACACUGGGACCAGGACUGAUGAUCUCCCAGGAGGGAGCAACUCACUGGAUCUCUCUCUCUCUCUUUUGCAGGACAGGACAAUGGAGAUUGACUGGGAGUGGAUAAUAGAGGCAGACAAGAGGAUGACAGAGAUGGACAAGGAGUGGAUAACGGAGACAAACAAUGAGAGGAUGAUGGAGAUGGACAAGGAGAGAACAAGGGAGAUGGACAAGGAGAAGACAAUGGAAAUGGAGAAGGAGAGGACAGCAGAGAUGGACAACGAGAGGAUGACAGAGAUGGACAAGGAGAAAAUGAUGGAGACAGACAAGGAAUGGACAAUGGAGAUGAACAGGGAGAGGAUGACAUAGAUGAACAGCAAGAAGAUGACAGAGAUAGACAAGAAAUGGAAGAUGGAGAUGGACACUGAGAAGACAUGUUAAUAAAAGAUGCUUUU
rnacentral:lncRNA from 1 species